CACAUAGACAUUUAAUCAUCUCACAACAUCACAAGAAGUAGGGUCUGACAGGCAACUUUGGACCACAUCCAGUCUUGUUGAGGUGCCCGUGCUUCUAUCUAGGUUACUGUCUCUUGGAUUGCUCAUUCUGGGGGAAAACAGCUGCCGUGUGGUGAGGAAAGAUACACACAAUGAAGAACUGAACCAAAAACCAUGUGAGUGAGUCAUCUUGGAGCAGCUCCUUGGCAUCAUUCAAGGCUUGACAUGAUGGCAGCUCCAGAUGACAUUGACUGCAACAUCAUAAGAUAUCCUAACCAGAUCUACCCUGCUAACCUGUUCCUGGAUCUGACCUUUGGGAACUGUGUGAGAUAAUAAAUACUGCUUUAACUGCUAA